CCUCGUGCUGAUCAACCAUGCUCUCCAGCGUCUAUGAGACAAACUCUAUAUCUGGUAUUGAGAGAGGGGGAGACGUGCAGCCAAUCAUUCACACAAGGAUACGCCGGACAUGUGAGCAUGUAAUCACGCAAAGCAUUACGAUGAGCUCGUAAUCACAAGGGCAACGUAGCGGUGGGAAGGGAACGAGACGAAAGGAGGAGGGUCCAUGUACUUACUACAGCACAUCGAUCGAUGCUGCAGAACUCCUUACUACGUGACGCCAUGAGAGAUGCUCAGUGAACGACUGCCACGCCACUAUAACGUUGUCCCGGCCAUGCACAUGACAUGCUCCUCGCAAGCGCCUUUCCUGCGAUCACCAUUACCAGGAUCAAAUAGGGGUCCCCCGAUCUUUGUCGAUCAUCAUCUCUCACGAGCUGUGUCACGGUGGAUGAAGAGUUCAGGUAGCUAAGCG
rnacentral:lncRNA from 1 species